rnacentral:rRNA from 1 species
CUACUCUUGACAUCCACGGAAUUCGCCAGAGAUGGCUUAGUGCCUUCGGGAACCGUGAGGCAGGUGCUGCAUGGCUGUCGUCAGCUCGUGUUGUGAAAUGUUGGGUUAAGUCCCGCAACGAGCGCAACCCUUAUCCUUUGUUGCCAGCGAGUCAUGUCGGGAACUCAAAGGAGACUGCCGGUGAUAAACCGGAGGAAGGUGGGGAUGACGUCAAGUCAUCAUGGCCCUUACGAGUAGGGCUACACACGUGCUACAAUGGCAUAUACAAAGAGAAGCGAACUCGCGAGAGCAAGCGGACCUCAUAAAGUAUGUCGUAGUCCGGAUUGGAGUCUGCAACUCGACUCCAUGAAGUCGGAAUCGCUAGUAAUCGUAGAUCAGAAUGCUACGGUGAAUACGUUCCC